rnacentral:rRNA from 1 species
UACGUAGGGGGCAAGCGUUUGUCCGGAAUCAUUGGGCGUAAAGCGCGCGUAGGCGGCCCGGUAAGUCCGCUGUGAAAGUCAAAGGCUCAACCUUUGAAUGCCGGUGGAUACUGUCGGGCUAGAGUCCGGAAGAGGCGAGUGGAAUUCCUGGUGUAGCGGUGAAAUGCGUAGAUAUCUGGAGGAACACCGGUGGCGAAGGCGGCAUCCUGGACCGGCAUGACGCUGAGGCGCGAAAGCCAGGGGAGCAAAGCGGG